UACGUAUAUAACUUUCUCAAGCGUAAAUAAAAAUGAUUAUAUAUUUUGUCAUGAAGCAUAAACCCUUCUUUUACCCGAGAAUUCACAUUAUCCCUGGUCUCCUGGGGAUCUUUCGAACCCCAUGAAUCGAAUCUCGAUUACCCAUUUCAAAGUUUCCGGCUUUGCAUAGAUUUGGGUUCAAUUCUUGAGUGCCCAGAAUCUAAAUCCAGGCGAUGUUAUUGAUUGCCGAUGAUUUUUGUAUGCUUCCCGGUGGUAGGACUGGGACUUCCAAAUUGCGGGACUUUCGUCUCGCUGAAGGCGAAAAGGUUGAGUUUUUGCAUCUGGGCAAAUGCAAACAGGAUAAUGUAGUGUCUGAACUUUUUCGAGUUUUAUUGUUUUGGUUCUUUAGCUUUAGAAAUCAAAUGAUAGGAGAUAAUGUGAAACGAAAUGCACAAAUUCGCCUGUUUCCAUCAAGAGUGCUGCAUUUUCGGAUUCAGCGCUUCACUUUGAUCAAUUGACAUGGUUUGUCCUGAUAGAUUCAUCAGUAAGUUUGCAUGUCGAUAUUAUAUGAAAGAGAUAAAGAGGGUACGGAGGACGGAGCAUCAUCCGUGGAAGAAGAAAGCUUCUGCACUGUCGGGGCAAAAAGCAUCUAACCUUGGCAGAAUGGAUAUGCCGGUUUGCUUAUAAAUAUAAAUUAGCAGCUCUCUGGUCUGCCAAAUGAAAAGGAGGUUUUUUAUGAUGCUUUGAAGUUUGAACAAAUGGGUGGCUUGGGAGAUGGAAUUCCCUGUGAUUACUGCAUUUGAUUUCCAUGUUUUGGUGUAAGUCUUUCUAUGAUCCUAGAGGUUUAUGCCCAAGGAAAUUGGCUCAGAGGGUUGAAUUGCACUUUUGCACAUCAUAGUCUGACAGAUAAGAUCUUCUUAUGAACCUGUUUCCUCUGAUAUUUUAGGGUUUGCGGAAAGUUUGCCUUCUUCCCAAUGUUAUGGAGGACCAGAUAUCUUUCUUGCCAUAAUCUCACCGAUAUGUGGCACCGGGCACCUCAUUUGUUCCAAUGUUAAUCAACAUCUUGUUUUGUCCCUAAGCUCAACUAGUUCAAAACGAUCCUUGAAAUUCUAUCAAGAUUGAUUUAGAUGUCUCUCUUUAAUCUCCGCAAUCAAUAAAAAACAAAGACAUAUCUAGACUAGUUAUCAAAACAGAUUCUUCAUGUGAGAAGGCUCAUUUUCCUGCAUUUGCUUUCUUCAGGUGUUUGCAGACAUGGAGGAGUCAGGUUUGAGACCAG